CGAGAAUUUGAGAUUGGGGUUUGUAGUGCAGAGUUCUGUUUGAAUUCGUGACAGUUCCUUCUUUAUCUUGUCUCCUAAUACCUUGUCAAUGAAAAAAUCUGAUGGAGAACCAUUAGAAUGCAGCUUCCUCUUUAUCAGUUUAGUGUCUGGUCCUUCUCCAAUGGGGGUAUCAACAAGGUGGCAAGACCCUAAAUAGGACUCACUGUCUGAUCUUUCGUUACUAAGAGGCAGAGGAGCAGUCUCAUCAUCAGAAUCAUUUUUCUUCCAUUUCUUAAACCCAUCAAAACCCCAUUGUUUUUUUGCUGAUUUUGACACUUUCUCUUCAGAACUGAGAAAAUUGUCGCCACCAUCACGGCCGCUGCUACCAUGAGCCUCCCUCUGCUCUCUUUGAAACAGAGUCCUGAAGGGUUUCCUCUUUCCCUUGUCAGUGCUUCCACAUUCCUUUGUGGACUCAUUUGGAAUGCUUUGUUGCAUGAGAAUGGACUUGGUUUCACUUUCUUGAUUCCUCAAAUGGCUAUCCCAAAGUGGGUUUUCUGUCUCGUUGCUGACAUUGCUAGGAGAGGAGAAUUUUGCUUCAAUUUCAAAUAUACUCUUCUCUUCUCUGUGUUUUGUUUGCUUGUGAGAUGAUCCAAAACCAAAAGCUGAGGCUGCUCCUUUAAUAUGCUUGAUUGCUGAAGUAGGCUUUGAUCUGCUUUUAGACGAUAAGUUUUCUUUACCAACCAAGCUUUUCUCAUCUUUUAAAUCAAUGACUGACCACUCCUCUUCUGGAUUCUCUCUUAGGUCUUUGGGGCCAGCAACAAUAACAUCUCUUGCCUCAAUUUCUGCCCCCUGAACUGCUAGCCUUUGUAACAAAGGUCUCUUUGAAGAAUGAUACUCAUCUUCUGAUAUACAUUUUGCAUAAAGCAGCUCCUGCAAGAAGACCAAUUUAUCUCGCAAAAUGACUGGCUGUUCAUGUUCAGCUGGAGAAGCAAUAAGGGUCUCGAGCAAAUGUGCUCGGAAAGCUGAAACCUCAUUCUCAGCUAAGAUCCCUUCUUUGUGGAGCCCCAUCAAGUUCAAGAUCUGGUGGAAAGAAUCUUGCUGCCAUUUCAAGUUAUCAGAUUGCAGCUUGGAGAGCCUGUGUUCCGCGGCUGGCAACCUCCGUUUCUUGAAGGAAAAGGGAAGGAUAGUCUUGCAGAGUGAGGUAAUUGAAUCAUGGAGAGUGGAGUAGUAUGUUGGUGUGUAUGUGUACACCAUUUUUGAUGAUCUCUUUGCUUCUGCACCUGAACCAGUGAAUGGAGUUAACCAAGAUUGGUGAUUCUUGUACGUUUCCAGAGCUGUGAUUUGAAGAUUUUCAGAGAAUUCUUGUUUCCCUUUCCGUUUUUGCAAAUUUAUUUUCUGGGUUGAUGAAAUUUUGAUGUGAUUGAAUGUAGAUGUAGCGAUUCUUUGGUUGUUUAUUUGGACAACUACAAAAUUUUGAAUUUUGGGUGCUUCAACGGUCACCUGGUAGUAGCCGUUGGAAAGGAGCAGGUGCAAAAGGAGAUCAAUAAUUAGUGGGCUAAAUCGAUGCCCUUUUU
rnacentral:misc_RNA from 1 species